rnacentral:rRNA from 1 species
CCCGGGCUCAACCUGGAACUGCAUCCAAACUGGCGAGCUAGAGUACGUAGAUGGUGGUGGAUUUCCUGUGUAGCGGUGAAAUGCGUAGAUAUAGGAAGGAUCCCAGUGGCGAAGGCGACCACCUGGACUGAUACUGACACUGAGGUGCGAAAGCGUGGGGAGCAACCAGGAUUAGAUACCCUGGUAGUUCACGCCGUAAACGAUGUCAACUAGCCGUUGGAAUCCUUGAGAUUUUAGUUGCGCAGCUAACGCAUUAAGUUGACCGCCUGAGGAGUACGGCCGCAAGGUUAAACUCAAAUGAAUUGACGGGGGCCCGCACAAGCGGUGGGGCAUGUGGUUUAAUUCGAAGCAACGCGAAGAACCUUACCAGGCCUUGACAUGCAGAGAACUUUCCAGAGAUGGAUUGGUGACUUCGGGAACUCUGACACAGGUGCUGCAUGGCUGUCGUCAGCUCGUGUCGUGAGAUGUUGGGUUAAGUCCCGUAACGAGCGCAACCCUUGUCCUUAGUUGCCAGCACGUAAUGGUGGGCACUCUAAGGAGACUGCCGGUGACAAACCGGAGGAAGGUGGGGAUGACGUCAAGUCAUCAUGGGCCUUACGGCCUGGGCUACGCACGUGCUACAAUGGUCGGUACAGAGGGUUGCCAAGCCGCGAGGUGGAGCUAAUCUCACAAAACCGAUCGUAGUCCGGAUCGCAGUCUGCAACUCGGCUGCGUGAAGUCGGAAUCGCUAGUAAUCGCGAAUAAGAGUGUCGCGGUGAAUCCGUUCCCGGGCCUGGUACACUCCAUUAGAGGGCACCAUGGGAGUGGGUGCACCAGAAGUAGCUAGUAUAACCUUCGGGAGGAGCGG